rnacentral:rRNA from 1 species
GACGAACGCUGGCGGCGUGCUUAACACAUGCAAGUCGAACGGUGAAGCGCCUUCCUUUUGGUGGGUGUUGAUUAGUGGCCAAAGGGUUAGUAAACCGUUAGUAACCCGCCCCCCUUCUCCGGGUUACCGCCUGAAAGUGUGGCUAAUUACGGGUAUUUUUGGUCUUUUCCCUUAUUGGUUCGGGGAAGAUUUUGGUUUCGUUGGGGGUGGGGUUGGCGGCCUAUCAGCUUGUUGGUGGGGUGAUGGCCUACCAGGGCGGUGACGGGUAGCCGGCCUGAGAGGGUGGACGGUCACACUGGGACUGAGACACGGCCCAGACUCCUACGGGAGGCAGCAGUGGGGAAUAUUGCACAAUGGGCGCAAGCCUGAUGCAGCGACGCCGCGUGAGGGAUGGAGGCCUUCGGGUUGUGAACCUCUUUCGCCAGUGAAGCAGGCCUGCCUCGUUUGUGGGUGGGUUGACGGUAGCUGGAUAAGAAGCGCCGGCUAACUACGUG